rnacentral:ncRNA from 1 species
GAGCCUAAAAACUCUCCCGAGCACAAAAGUUUGGUCCCAGCUUUAAAGUCAAUUUUUUCUUAAUUUACACAUGCAAGUCUCCUCAGCCCUGUGAGUAAGCCCCCACCUCCCCCUCGGAAUGAAAGGUCGAUAUAAGGCUCCACAACAGCCCAAAACAUCUAGCAAUAGCCACACCCAUAAGGGAUACAGCAGUGAUUAACAUUAGAUAUAAGUGUCAACUUGAUCCAGUUAAAGAAAUAUGAGGCCGGCAAAAUUAGUGCCAGCCGCCGCGGCUACACUAUAGGCCAUAACUGACUUUUAUCGGCGUAAAGCGUGGUUAAAGCAACUAAAAAAUUAGAGUUAAAUUCUGACUGAAUAGUGCAAUCCCUGUUUACAAGAAAUCCAGAAACGAAAGUUACUCUACCCCACCUCCACUUGAACCCACGAUAGCCAGGAGACAAACUAGGAUCAGACACCCUACUAUGCCUGGCCAUAAACUUUAAAUUACCCUCUAAUCGCCAAGGAACUACGAGCAAAGCUUAAAACCUAAGGGACUUGACGGUGCCCCACAUUCACCUAGAGGAGCCUGUCCUAUAACCGAUACUCCCCGUUAAACCUCACCACUCCUAGCCUUUCAGCCUGUAUACCUCCGUCCAGUUUACCAUGUGAAUGGAUCAGUAAACCUAACCGUCACCCACUAAUACGUCAGGUCGAGGUGCAGCAAAUGUAGUGGAAAGAGAUGGGCUACACUCUCUAUUUUAGAAGACACGAAAGGUCAUAUGCAACCUGACCAGAAGGUGGAUUUAGUAGUAAAAAGAAAGCAGAGCGUUCUUUUUAAACCGACACUGGGGUGUGUACACACCGCCCGUCACCCUCUUCAAGAUAAUACUCAGCAGUAUAUAACAAAACUUUUUUCCUAAGAAGAGGCAAGUCGUAACAUGGUAAGCGUACCGGAAGGUGCGCUUGGUAA